rnacentral:rRNA from 1 species
ACGCUCGACACCUACGGGAGGCAGCAGUGAGGAAUAUUGGGCAAUGGGCGCAAGCCUGACCCAGCAACGCCGCGUGAAGGAAGAAGGCUUUCGGGUUGUAAACUUCUUUUAUUAAGGACGAAGCAAUGACGGUACUUAAUGAAUAAGCUCCGGCUAACUACGUACCAGCAGCCGCGGUAAUCUGAGCGGGCUGGCAAGGC